GCAUUUUUAGAGCCCAGGAAAGUUUCAGCAGUCCAACAAUAAGUCAAACUAUGAAGCCCCUCUGCCUCUGUUCCUUCUCCAUCUACAAAAUCCUUGAAAGGCUGCUUCAAACCUUCUCAACUGCAGAGCUGAGAAAAAAACACAGCCUCUCCCUCUCCCUCUCCCUCUCCCUCUCCCUCUCCCUCUCCCUCUCCCUCUCCCUCUCCCUCUC